AGCUCCAAAACAAUGGAUUUGAAAAUGUUUGAACUUAUCAAUGCGUUUUCUAAUUCGUCUGGUUUUUCACCUUUCUGUAUUUGUCAUAUAGAAAGCUCGGACCCAAAUUUGGCUAUUUGAACAGAAAGAUCUGGGCACAGAAGAAAUAUGAAUGUUUUUUCAAGAGUUCUGGGUGUUCUCUUUGUGCUUAUGGACUCUUAUGUUGAUCUGGAGUACAAAAAAUACAGAGAUAGAUCGAUCAUCAAUACUUGGAGAUGCAAUCUAUUAUCUCAACCAAUUUUUACAAAGGAUCAAUGAUCUUCACAAAUCACAACGAACUUGAGUUAACUCCACCUGGAUCUUUGCCUCCAACUUCAACAAGCUUCCUACACCUCAUACUCUUUCUUGCCGUGUUGAGGAAGAGUUAUGUCCCUCUUAGCCAAGCCCUAAAGUCCAGCAAGAAAGAGUAAGGCGUCAACAAAUCUUCAUGGUUGUUAGUGUUUUAUAGGUUAAAAGCAUUUACUCUGUGUUUCUUUUAUCCACAGGUUGAGGCUAGACUAAGAGAAGGCAGAGCAGUGAACAUGCGCAUGAUUUGUUGUCGCAAGGAAAAUGCGACAAGUACAGUACUUGCCUUUGGAGAUUGAUAACCGAGCUUAGAUGCUACUAAACCGAACCAAGACGCUAUACCCAAAAUAUCCGACCAGAAGAGGAAUCUGGCUUAGUAGGUGUUCAAUCAGUUUCUCGAAGAUAGCCAUGACGAGGAACAUUGAGAUGAGAAUGUCUGUAACUACGAAACCAGAGGAAACGGCGUUAACUGAGUCAUCAAAUCGAGAUUUGCAUGGUUCUUCUCGCCAGUUGUACACCAGAGCUCCAAUGGGAGGCCAUGGAUGGUUCUUCUGGCCUUAGUGUUGUUAGUUCGUUAAGGUGAAAUAGAGAGAGAAGUUAGAUGAAAAAGGAGAAGAGAGUGAGCAAUAUGUGAUAAUGUGAAAAUUUUGGGAUUUUGUUAGAAAUUAAAGAAUUGUAACUUUUUGGGGACACGUUGUCCUCUUACUCUGCUUUUUUGAGAUUUGCAAAGAAAAUAGUGAUGUUUGCUAUUCUAAAUUAAUUAAAUUAAUGAAAAGGAGGAUUA